rnacentral:lncRNA from 1 species
AUGUCUGUCUGCCUGGUGGAGCUCUCCCCUGGGCCCAUGUCUGUCUGCCUGGUGGAGCUCUCCCCUGGGCCCAUGUCUGUCUGCCUGGUGGAGCUCUUCCCUGUGCCCAUGUCUGUCUGCCUCGUGGAGCUCUCCCCUGGGCCCAUGUCUGUCUGCCUGGUGGAGCUCUCCCCUGGGCCCAUGUCUGUCUGCCUGGUGGAGCUCUCCCCUGGGCCCAUGUCUGUCUGCCUGGUGGAGCUCUCCCCUGGGCCCAUGUCUGUCUGCCUGGUGGAGCUCUCCCCUGGGCCCAUGUCUGCCUGGUGGAGCUCUCCCCUGGGCCCAUGUCUGUCUGCCUGGUGGAGCUCUCCCCUGGGCCCAUGUCUGUCUGCCUGGUGGAGCUCUUCCCUGGGCCCAUGUCUGUCUGCCUCGUGGAGCUCUCCCCUGGGCCCAUGUCUGUCUGCCUGGUGGAGCUCUCCCCUGGGCCCAUGUCUGUCUGCCUGGUGGAGCUCUCCCCUGGGCCCAUGUCUGUCUGCCUGGUGGAGCUCUCCCCUGGGCCCAUGUCUGUCUGUCACUAUGCAGAAUGAAGUCCAGGUUUGUUUACUGUUUUUACAGACUGACUGGGUGCUUAGGCGAACACGUGAGCCCCCUCCCUCCCACGUCCCACCCAGACCCAGACUUAGAAACAGGAACCCAUCCCAGGGAAGGAGAGGUCAGGACUGGGCUUCUAUCACCAGACCCAGACCCAGGAACCCAUCCCAGGGAAGGAGAAGUCAGGACUGGGCUUCUAUCACCAGACUCAGACCCAGGAACCCAUCCCAGGGAAGGAGAGGUCAGGACUGGGCUUCUAUCACCAGACCCAGACCCAGGAACCCAUCCCAGGGAAGGAGAGGUCAGGACUGGGCUUCUAUCACCAGACCCAGAAACAGGAACCCAUCCCAGGGAAGGAGAGGUCAGGACUGGGCUUCUAUCACCAGACCCAGACACAGGAACCCAUCCCAGGGAAGGAGAGGUCAGGACUGGGCUUCUAUCACCAGACCCAGAAACAGGAACCCAUCCCAGGGAAGGAGAGGUCAGGACUGGGCUUCUAUCACCAGACCCAGUGGAGGGGUAGGAUUUCAGGCACCGAGACAUCGUGGCUAA